rnacentral:rRNA from 1 species
GACGAACGCUGGCGGCGUGCCUAACACAUGCAAGUCGAACGAGGCCCAUCCUUCGGGAGAAGACCUAGUGGCGAACGGGUGAGUAACACGUGAGGAACCUGCCCCGAAGACCGGGAUAACCCUCCGAAAGGAGAGCUAAUACCGGAUACCCCCACCGAACCGCAUGGUUUGGUGAGGAAAUGGAUUCCGCUUCGGGAGGG